GGGCGUAUGGUCUAAUGGACAAAGACGUCUCAGGUGCACAAAUGUUCAUACUAAAUCCUACAAUCAAACUAGUACUGGUUACCAGUCUCGAAUGGUGGGAAGUUUAAGUAUUUGUGCUACACGAGUGAGAUUCCCAAGUUCGAAUCCUGGUGCGCCCA